AUAACUUCUCAGCCUUUUGGUUAGGAUCAAGUAUAGUGUCUGUUCUUAUCAACACAAUUUUAGAAGACAAAAAUCACCUGCAUAACAGUUCUGAUAAAUAUACUUUGAAACAGUUUAGUGAUAAGAACAAUA
ensembl:snRNA LOC120094034 U2 spliceosomal RNA